CUGUUACCGCUGGGCUUGGCCUCUAUAAUUUGGCACACAACCCUUCUCUCGAAUUCAGACCCCAAAUCUCUCUCUGGCCUUUUUCUUUCUCUCCCUGGAUCCAAUUCCGGGGUUUAACUAGGGUUUUAAGUCUAAUCAGAUCCAUAUCCUUUUUCUACCAGCUCAGCUCAGCUCCAAUCUUUCCACUUUCUGGUUAGGGUUUAUUCUCUCCAAUUUUCGAACUUCAAUUCAAAUCUCAUCCAACUCCGUCACUUCUCUCUCAGCUCCACUUUUCAAUGCCCCCACCAACUGGUACAAUUUCUCUAGUCUCUACAACUCAGUGAGAACAAGGCUUUUGCUAUUGGGAAUUGUACAUUAAGAAUGCGCAUCUUGGGGAAUUCUUGCGAAACAGUGGUGCUGAUGGAUAAGUGAUAUGAGGUGUUGAAUAUGAGCGAUGGGGGUGGGGAGAGUGGAAGAGAGUCUGAUCGGGCCACGAAGAGAAAGUCAAGUGAUCGAGAUUUUCCCCAAGCAAUUGCCAAGAUUGCAGUAGCUCAAAUAUGUGAGAGUGCAGGGUUUCAGGGUUUUCAGCAGUCUGCACUUGAAACACUCUCUGAGGUUGUGGUUCGGUACAUUCGGGAGUUAGGAAAGACUGCACAUACCUAUGCUAAUUCAGCAUGUAGGACAGAGUGUAACAUUUUCGAUAUUAUUCAGGGUUUGGAAGAUUUGGCAUCGCUGCAGGGGUUUUCAGGUGCUUCAGAUAGCGAUCAUUGUCUUGCAGGAUCGGGCACAGUUAGGGAGAUUGUUCAGUAUGUUAGUGAAGCUGAGGAGAUCCCGUUUGCUCAUUCCGUUCCCCAUUUCCCAGUCAUCAGAGACCGGAAGCAAACACCUAGUUUUCUGCAAAUUGGAGAAGAGCCUCCUGGGGAUCACAUUCCCGAUUGGUUGCCUGCAUUUCCUGAUCCACAAACUUAUGUUCAUUCCCCGGUACUGAAUGAGAGGGGGGCAGAUCCUUGUGCAGGUAACAUUGAACAGGCCCGGCAACAUAAGAAGGCAGAGUGGUCUUUGUUGAAUUUGCAGCAGCAGUUGGCUUGCAAUGGGUUGGAAGGACCUUCCAUGAUUGACCCUGGAGAUGCUGCCAAGGCAAGACGAGCAGCUGAAACUAACCCAUUCCUUUCUGCCCCUCUACACUUUGGGGAGAAGGGAGUUUCUCCAGUUUUUCUUCCAGCUAAGCUUUCUAAUGAAGCAGUUGUGGAAAAUCAAGCUGGGGAAAAUCAUGCUGUGGCAAAUCAUGUUUCAGUGUUAGAGACGUUUGCUCCAGCUAUUGAGUUAAUGAAGAGUAGAUCAUGUGAGUCUGAAGAGGGGAGGAAAAAAGUUCUUUCUAACCAGAGACCAGCUGUGCAAUUUAAGAUUGAGAUUGGCAAGAAGUCCACAGGCACAGCCCUGGAUUUGAGCUUCCAAAACAAGGAUGUUGAGAAGAUCACCUCUUGGUUUGGGAAGGAUAAUGAGAAGGAUGACAAGAAAAGGAGGGCAGAGAAAAUUCUGAAGGAGUCUAUGAAAAACCCACAGGAACUGGCUCAGUUGUAAAAUAGGUCUUUGUCCUUAGGAUUUGUAUACUUCUAGAAAACUGGCAGCAGAAGCUGGUUCCAAGGUAGUUAAAAUUGUGUGGCAAAUUGUUGUCAGCAUAUGGGUAUUACACACUGCGGGAGGGGAAUGUUCCCACUUUAACAAGUUUUCAAGAUUUUUAGGUCAUUCCAAACAGUUGUGAUCUUCAGUUAUGAACAUGUUCAUGCUGGCUUCCUGGCCUUAUUGGAUUUGAAGUGAUUGCUAUUUUGCUUGGGUUCUUAAAUUCUUGUCUGCUCAACCUGAAGACCAUUUGAAGUUAUUCUAUGAAACGGCUUCCAAAAGCAGCCUCGCUGAGAUAUUGGGGUAAGGAAUUGCAAUUUAGGCCUCUGGUUUCUACUGCUCUUGUGCAAAGGGUAUUUUAACCUUCUUUAUUUUUAUAUUAGUUUUUGUAUAGGGCAGGCAGUUUUUUAUUUUGAGGGGAAAAAGAGAUGUAUUUAUUAAGCAUUUGAAUGCUUUGGAGUUGGGAAGGUAUUAGAAAUAAUUGAAGACCUUGUAAUGAAGUCAAAAGAUUAAAAUGAACUGUAUGUAAAGGAAAAUGAGUAUGCUUCAAAUGUUGAAUUGUUCAGGUUAAUUCUGGAAAUUUUCUUGUAACUUGGGAUUUAUUUGUAAAGUAUAGAAGCAGCCUGGAAGGAUUUUGUGAAGUGUGCAUGCUUAUGGUGAGAAACUUCAGUUUUGGGAUCUGUUUGGUUUUCUGGAGGAUGAGGAGGCUGGGGAGGCAGGUGACCUGGAGUUGAUUAGAAGGGAGAAUGACUUUAGUUCCAGAUUCAUCACAGGAUUUUAAGGAUUGGGAGUUGGUGGAUAUUGAGUGCCUCUUGGAGGUUAUUGAGAGGCAGUAAGGGAGGGGGAUAUGAAAUUUGAUGCACAGUACAGUGGGGAUUCUCUAUAAAGUCUCAUUGUUGGGCUUUUAUGUGGGGAUUUCCAAGGAGAUCUUGCAUAAUCUGAUGCCGUAGAGGGUGGCUUUCUUUGUAAUCAGAUGCUCAAGAAGGAAUCCCCACUAUGGACAUGUUAAUCAGAAAAAGAAGGUGAUGAGGAUGAGCAUCAGUAUUAGUUGGAAUUAAAUUGAGAUUAGUAUUUAUUGGAGACAAAUCGGGAGUAGCUGAUUAGGUUAUAAGAGAAUUAGAAUUAGUCAUAAUAAAUUAUUAGAAUUGUAGGAGAAUUUGGAUCUAGUAGAGAAGCCUAUAAAUAAGAUUAUUUGAUGCAAACCAAACUAUUGAUUAAUGAUUAAUAAUAUUAUAUUUUCUUGCAUAUUUCACAAUUUUCAAUGGUGAGACUUCAUUGAUUUUCUUUUAGGUGAGACUCCUAAAAUGCAACUCUAAGGUUCUAUCCCUUCUUCUCCUUAUCUUCUUUCUUUAUAUUUUAUUUUAUUUUAUUUUACUGUCAUAAACUUUAUUCCUUAUUCUUCUCCUUAAACCCUAAAAAAUAAAAACCCUUGUCCAUCUAUUUGAUUGUAGGCAACCAUCCUAGGUUUGUCCUACAUCUGAAGGAUAACUCCUAAUUGAUAAUAUAGACACUAUCAGGUUUCAUUUGAUCGAAGGAGAAGUUGAGAAUUAUCACCAUGCACUCAAACACACAAGGUUCCAGAAUCAGCUUUGAUGAAAUUCUAGACAUAUGUUUGGUGACAUUAGGAGUUUACAUGCUGUUUUUUCAUUCCAUAUUCUUAAACCCCUCACAGGUUAACACCUUUUUUAUUCUUAUUUUUUGAAAAAAAAAAAGUUAUUCAUAACUGUUCUUGAUAAUAUGGGAUUUAGGUUUGUGUUUAUAAUGUUCAAUUAGUUUGUGCUUUUGAGGAAAAAUUGGAAUAGUAUGCAUUUCUAUGUCAUCCGACAGCUGGAUACCGUGUGAAAUAAGUAGGGCCCAUUUGGAACGAAAUAUACUCCUUUUUGGGUUGAAAGGGGACUUUCUUUAACUUAAAUCCUUUUGUAGCACAUUGAAAUGGCAGUUUUGUGUAUCAGUCAUGCUUGGCAUGCUAAAAUAAUGAUUUGGUAGUUAAAUCAUUGGAGCACGAAGCUAAAAGGGCUAAAAGCACUCUUAUGUAUAUUGACUGUAGUGAACAUGUAUCUUAUAGACAUCUACAUUAGGCUUUUUUUGCAGGCUAGUAAAGAGCUGCAGUUGUCAUGAGUGGUUAUGCUUUUACACAAAAAAUAAAAAUAAGAAAAAGAAAGGAAAAGAAAUACAUAGAGAAAUUAAGAAGGGAAAGACUGCAAAUUACUUAGGAAACAGUUGCCUGUAAUGAUGCCCUCUAGGCCGGGCUCGUGAUAGAGCUGCCUCGCCAUUCAGAACCUCGCCAAUCAAGUCUUUAAAGAUUAAGCGCUCAACAUCUAAUGCUAUCCCUGAAACCUCGCCAUGAAAGUCUGCCCGGUUGGCUGAGCGAUGCAUGAUAUCUUCCCAUGAGACUUCGUUCUCUAAGCUGCAGUCUGAGUUGUUACCUUGGAGCUGAUCUAUCUCUGAACAUAAUUCCCUCAGGAGCUCCUGUCCAUUCUGGCUUCUCCUAACUAUCUUAUUUGGUAAGAAACAAGGCUCGGAAGAACCUGUGAAAGCUAAUUUCUGAAAUAGGAUUUCAUUGACUACAUCAAAUAUGAGUUUUCUUUGGAGUUUUGACUGGGCAGUGUUUUGGCUGCUGUACUUAUCAUUUAAAAUGUUGGCAACAUCCCUGUUUUGUUCCAGGACAAGAAAUAGUUUGGGGUUGAUGGGAUGGCUGGAUUGGUGGAGCUUAGUGAUCAUCAAGCCAGAGCAAUCUCUGAGGAGACCUGAUGCUAACAGUAUCUCAGAAAUGUAUCUGUGAUCUGGAUUUGUCUUGUCGCAGAGAGAUGCAAUGAGAUCCACACUGAAUUCAUUCAAAUUGGGAGCUCUUUGUCUGAGUUUUCUAGCAGGAGAGCUUGGUUCUGUCAGUUGCCUACUGGAUUGCCUCCUGACCCUGCUGGACUCCGGUGAUGGAGUUGUAGAACGAGAUUGCUUGUCCAACUCGAGCUUCUUCUGUUGCAGUCUAGGGCUCACAGCUCCAGAGUUCCUUCCUGAGCUGCUUGUGUUUUCUUCAUUAAUUUUUUGAUGAACUUUUGAAGUCUUUGUCAAUCUUGAACUUCUGUCAGCGGAGCUCUUAUCCAGUAAACGAGAGGGUUGGCUUGAAGGCUCUUUAAGAUGCUUGUUUCUUGGGGUCAGAUCUUUAGCUGUUUGCUUGUCAACUGAAUCCUUUCUGCUACCUACUAAGUCACCAGUUUGGAGUCUUGGAAGACCUGAUAAACCAUCAAUGGGGAUUGCGGAGGAAGCCAGGUUAUGGGAUUUCUCAAUAAGUUUGGCUGGUUUCAUGAUCACAAUUGGAGAUUUAAAGCUAGUUGGAGAGCUAGUCCCUCUGAUUGUGGCAGACAUUGGACUGUUACUUUGUAAGUUGCGAGAAUUUGCUACUUUUGAACUCCGAACAGGACUGCUGCAACCCAAACUGUUGCUUGUUUGAGACACAGAAUUUGAAUUAUGAUCUUUUUUGGCCUCUAUCGUCUCUUUAGUCUUCUGCAUUGCUUCAAGUAUUCGUUUAAGAGCUCUGAGAUCCUUACCAGAUUUUUUGAACUCGAGUUCAGUCAAUCUUUUCUCAAUUUCACCAUAGAUUGAAGGGGUGGAAUUCAGGGUCUUUGUGGCAGCUUCUCGAUGCUUGAAGGUUGGUUUUUGAGGGCCUUGACUUCCAUCCAGUUGCUUCCAUGGAGCUGGUUCUAUGGGAAACCUUGAAGUUGAGGUGGGCUUCAUAACUGAACCAGCAUUUCUCAACCGAGGUGAAACCGGGUCCUUGUGGGAAUUCCUUGGGGACCCAGAAAUUCGAUGCUGCUUGCUUUCUCCAGCUGCUUUUGAUGAUCUUGAGAAGGGGUUAGUGUCUCCAUCUGGGCAGGCUUCCAUCUGGCCAUCAUUGAUUGACAUAGAAGAAUCUGGGAAAGCAUCUAGCCCCAUCAACUUCGCUACAACGCCAGAUGGCCUUUUAUUGCUUCCUGGUUCUUGCUGUGGGCUCAGCAUUUUGCUGGAGUUACCAUUUCCCUUCUGCAAAUCCCUCAACAGAUAAUUUGAUUUUAGUUCAGAGGCAGAACCCCUCAUGGAACUCUCUCUACUGUCCAGUGAUAGCCUCGGGAGGUCUUUGAGCUUUAUAGCGGAUUUGAAUGUGUCUCGUGAUUCCCUUCCAUCGUAAGAGAACCGGGGAGCAUCCCUUGGUGUCAAAACCAGGGAACCAUCCUUUCUUUCAUUGGAGUUCCUGGGUGGUCCACGAAGCUUGCCAAAAGUUCUAAGUGAUUCAUCAAGAACAGGAACUUUAAUUGGCUCCUUGGACAGCCGCAUAGGCCUGGGAGAAUCAAUGUGCUUGACAGCAUGGCUCACUGCCUCCUUCUUCCAUGCAGUUUUAACUGAUAACCCACAGGCCUCUCUGUAGAUUGAGUCCUUUACAAUGUCUCGGAGAUCAAGCGAUUGCCUGCCCAACCGAGGAGAAGCAUCUGGCUGGGUCAUGGGCAAGUCUCGCGAAGGGGUGUUGGGGAAACCGGUUUGGCUGUGGGAAAAGGAUUCUGUUUGAGCUGUUCUAUUACAAUCAACAGACGAGAAGGUAGACGAACAGGAGGAAGACGAAAAGGAUGUCCUGGACGAUUCAGUCGAGAUUCUCUGCUUCUCUUUCACAAAUUUCUUAGGAUUUUUAUCCUGCAACUAAGACACAUAUAGUUAAAAAUAAUGGAAUUUUAACGAACAUACUUGAAAUAAUUUGUAGUAAUGGAUUCUCACUUUAGCUUUA